rnacentral:rRNA from 1 species
GUAAGGAAUAUUGCGCAAUGGGCGAAAGCCUGACGCAGCGACGCCGCGUGGGGGAUGAAGGUCUUCGGAUUGUAAACCCCUUUCGGGAGGGAAGAUGGGAUGGGGUAACCCAUUCGGACGGUACCUCCAGAAGCAGCCACGGCUAACUUCGUGCCAGCAGCCGCGGUAAUACGAAGGUGGCAAGCGUUGUUCGGAUUUACUGGGCGUACAGGGAGCGUAGGCGGUUGGGUAAGCCCUCCGUGAAAUCUCCAGGCUUAACCUGGAAAGUGCAGAGGGGACUGCUCGGCUAGAGGAUGGGAGAGGAGCGCGGAAUUCCCGGUGUAGCGGUGAAAUGCGUAGAGAUCGGGAGGAAGGCCGGUGGCGAAGGCGGCGCUCUGGAACAUUUCUGACGCUGAGGCUCGAAAGCGUGGGGAGCAAACAGGAUUAGAAACCCCUGUAGUCC